AUUGAACGCUGGCGGCAUGCCUUACACAUGCAAGUCGAACGGCAGCACGGGUGCUUGCACCUGGUGGCGAUUGGCGAACGGGUGAGUAAUACAUCGGAACAUGUCCUGUAGUGGGGGAUAGCCCGGCGAAAGCCGGAUUAAUACCGCAUACGAUCUACGGAUGACAGCGGGGGACCUUCGGACCUCGCGCUAUAGGGUUGGCCGAUGGCUGAUUAGCUAGUUGGUGGGGUAAAGGCCUACCAAGGCGACGAUCAGUAGCUGGUCUGAGAGGACGACCAGCCACACUGGGACUGAGACACGGCCCAGACUCCUACGGGAGGCAGCAGUGGGGAAUUUUGGACAAUGGGCGAAAGCCUGAUCCAGCAAUGCCGCGUGUGUGAAGAAGGCCUUCGGGUUGUAAAGCACUUUUGUCCGGAAAGAAAUACUUGGCCCUAAUACGGUCGGGGGAUGACGGUACCGGAAGAAUAAGCACCGGCUAACUACGUG
rnacentral:rRNA from 1 species